GGGCGUGUGGUCUAGUGGUAUGAUUCUCGCUUUGGGCGAAUUCCGAGUUACACUUGGGAUACAAAUCAUUCAAAUAUGCGAGAGGCCCUGGGUUCAAUUCCCAGCUCGCCCC
rfam:Vanderwaltozyma polyspora DSM 70294 KpolScaffold1059 genomic scaffold, whole genome shotgun sequence.